AUUGAACGCUGGCGGCAGGCCUAACACAUGCAAGUCGAACGAGUGGCGGACGGGUGAGUAAUGUCUGGGAAACUGCCUGCUGGAGGGGGAUAACUACUGGAAACGGUAGCUAAUACCGCAUACCAUCGGAUGUGCCCAGAUGGGAUUAGCUAGUAGGUGGGGUAACGGCUCACCUAGGGGACGAUCCCUAGCUGGUCUGAGAGGAUGACCAGCCACACGGGAACUGGGACACGGGCCAGGCUCCUACGGGAGGCGGCAGUGGGUAAUAUUGCACAAUGGGCGCAAGCCUGAUGCAGCCAUGCCGCGUGUAUGAAGAAGGCCUUCGGGUUGUAAAGUACUUUCAGCGGGGAGGCGUUACCCGCAGAAGGAGCACCGGCUAACUCCGUGCCAGCAGCCGCGGUAAUUC
rnacentral:rRNA from 1 species